rnacentral:tRNA from 1 species
AUAAUUUUAAGUUAAAAAAACUAUUAACCUUCAAAGUUAAAAAUAUAAAUAAAUAAUUUAUAAAUUUUA